AAGAAAUGGUUUACCGUCCCACAUACAUUUUGAAUAUGUAUGUGGGAUGGUAAACCGCUUCUU
rnacentral:pre_miRNA from 10 species